UACGGAGGGGGCAAGCGUUGUUCGGAAUUACUGGGCGUAAAGGGCGCGCAGGCGGCUGCUCAAGUCAGGCGUGAAAGCCCCGGGCUCAACCUGGGAACCGCGCUUGAGACUGGCACGCUAGAGUUCGGGAGAGGAUGGUGGAAUUCCCGAGUGUAGAGGUGAAAUUCGUAGAUAUUGGGAAGAACACCGAUGGCGAAGGCAGCCAUCUGGACCGACACUGACGCUGAGG
rnacentral:rRNA from 1 species